rnacentral:sRNA from 1 species
GAACUGAAGGAAUUGGAGAAACUAACUAGAAGCUACAACUAGAGGUUUGGUUAACUAAGUACUUUUUAGUAUCUUUUGCUUUUUGCUUAAAUCAUGGAGAAUCAAUAGGAAACUUGUCUACAAAAGGUGAUGUCUUGUAGUAGGUAAGGUGUAGGCGUGUGGGUGUAACUGUCUGUUUGCUUUUCUCUAUAAGAGCAUAAUUAUUGGUGGUAUCUUACCCAAAUUCUUAGGCUAAGAUUUGUGAAGAAAAGGCUCUUAUAUAAG